rnacentral:siRNA from 1 species
AUCAAUGCUUUGUUGGAGACAUGG